rnacentral:lncRNA from 1 species
UGUUGAAAUUGGCCACCGUCUUAGUAAACGGAGGGUUCCGAUCAAUCACCUGAUACUCCGGCUUUGCCGAUGCUGUAAUGUCCGUGUUCAUUUUCUUGUUCGUUGCCUAGCUCUUCUUCUCUCUGUUCUGUCUGAGAUUUCAUUCUAGUGUCUAAAAUGGGCUAUCUAUUCAGGCCCCCGUUUGAUCCAUUAUUUGGAUUUAUA